rnacentral:rRNA from 1 species
UACGAAGGGGGCUAGCGUUGUUCGGAAUCACUGGGCGUAAAGCGCACGUAGGCGGGUCGUUAAGUUAGAGGUGAAAGCCCGGGGCUCAACUCCGGAAUUGCCUUUAAGACUGCAUCGCUAGAAUUGUGGAGAGGUAAGUGGAAUUCCGAGUGUAGAGGUGAAAUUCGUAGAUAUUCGGAAGAACACCAGUGGCGAAGGCGACUUACUGGACACAUAUUGACGCUGAGGUGCGAAAGCGUGGGGAGCAAACAGG